GAUGAAGAACGUAGCGAAAUGCGAUAAGUAAUGUGAAUUGCAGAAUUCAGUGAAUCAUCGAAUCUUUGAACGCACAUUGCGCCCAUUAGUAUUCUAGUGGGCAUGCCUGUUCGAGCGUCAUUUCAACCCUUAAGCCUAGCUUAGUAUUGGGAAUCGACUUUACUGUCGUUCCUCAAAUUCAACGGCGGAUUUAUAGCAAUCUCUGAACGUAGUAAUUUUUUUCCUCGUUUUUGAAAUACUAUAAACCUCAGCCGCUAAACCCCCAAUUCUUUUAUGGUUGACCUCGGAUCAGGUAGGAAUACCCGCUGAACUUAAGCAUAUCAAUAAGCGGAGGA
rnacentral:misc_RNA from 1 species